rnacentral:lncRNA from 1 species
UUUUUUUACUUGAAUUAAUAAUCCCUUAUCUGUUUUUUUUAAUUCUUCAUCUUUUGUUGAAUUUUUUUAAUUUCACCACUUAUUUUCAAUGCCUUCUUGCCGUUUAAAUUGUCUUUAAAAAAUACAAUAUGAUUAUAAAUUUUGUUUUUCGAAAAUGAAUUUUAGAUUUUUUUUUCUUUUGUAAAAUAAGAGACUAUUUUAUAAAUAAAACUAACACUUUUGAUUUUUAUUUUAGCAAACUCAUUUAAAAAGAUAUUAAUAUGAAAGAGUAAAUUUUUUAUAUAAAUUCAUAAAUGAACAAGUCCACCAUCG